rnacentral:sRNA from 1 species
UAAAGGUACGAGAAGUGAAAAUGUGGUU